GCCUAACACAUGCAAGUCGAACGAGGGCUUCGGCCCUAGUGGCGCACGGGUGAGUAACGCGUGGGAACCUGCCCUGUGGUACGGAAUAACUCCGGGAAACUGGAGCUAAUACCGUAUGCGUCCUUUGGGACAAAGAUUUAUCGCCAUGGGAUGGGCCCGCGUAGGAUUAGCUUGUUGGUGGGGUAACGGCCUACCAAGGCAACGAUCCUUAGCUGGUCUGAGAGGAUGAUCAGCCACACUGGGACUGAGACACGGCCCAGACUCCUACGGGAGGCAGCAGUGGGGAAUAUUGGACAAUGGGCGCAAGCCUGAUCCAGCAAUGCCGCGUGAGUGAUGAAGGCCUUCGGGUUGUAAAGCUCUUUCGCACGCGACGAUGAUGACGGUAGCGUGAGAAGAAGCCCCGGCUAACUUCGUGCCAGCAGCCGCGGUAAUACGAAGGGGGCUAGCGUUGUUCGGAAUUACUGGGCGUAAAGGGCGCGUAGGCGGUACUUCAAGUCAGGCGUGAAAGCCCCGGGCUCAACCUGGGAACCGCGCUUGAGACUGGAGAACUAGAGUUCGGGAGAGGAUGGUGGAAUUCCCAGUGUAGAGGUGAAUUCGUAGAUAUUGGGAAGAACACCGAUGGCGAAGGCAGCCAUCUGGACCGACACUGACGCUG
rnacentral:rRNA from 1 species